rnacentral:ncRNA from 1 species
CAACCUCAACUCAUAUGGGACUACCCCCUGAAUUUAAGCAUAUUAAUUAGGGGAGGAAAAGAAACUAACAAGGAUUUUCUUAGUAGCGGCGAGCGAAAAGAAAACAGUUCAGCACUAAGUCACUUUGUCUAUAUGGCAAAUGUGAGAUGCAGUGUAUGGAGCGUCAAUAUUCUAGUAUGAGAAAUUAAUGAUUUAAGUCCUUCUUAAAUGAGGCCAUUUACCCAUAGAGGGUGCCAGGCCCGUAUAACGUUAAUGAUUGCUAGAUGAUGUUUCCAAAGAGUCGUGUUGCUUGAUAGUGCAGCACUAAGUGGGUGGUAAACUCCAUCUAAAACUAAAUAUAACCAUGAGACCGAUAGUAAACAAGUACCGUGAGGGAAAGUUGAAAAGAACUCUGAAUAGAGAGUUAAACAGUACGUGAAACUGCU